rnacentral:rRNA from 1 species
GAAGAACGCUGGCGGCGUGCUUAACACAUGCAAGUCGAACGGAAAGGCCCAAGCUUGCUUGGGUACUCGAGUGGCGAACGGGUGAGUAACACGUGGGUGAUCUGCCCCGCACUUCGGGAUAAGCCUGGGAAACUGGGUCUAAUACCGGAUAGGACCACUUCUUGGAGGUUGUGGUGGAAAGUUUUUUCGGUGUGGGAUGAGCUCGCGGCCUAUCAGCUUGUUGGUGGGGUAAUGGCCUACCAAGGCGUCGACGGGUAGCCGGCCUGAGAGGGUGUACGGCCACAUUGGGACUGAGAUACGGCCCAGACUCCUACGGGAGGCAGCAGUGGGGAAUAUUGCACAAUGGGCGCAAGCCUGAUGCAGCGACGCCGCGUGGGGGAUGACGGCCUUCGGGUUGUAAACUACUUUCGCUAGGGACGAAGCGCAAGUGACGGUACCUAGAGAAGAAGCACCGGCUAACUACGUG